rnacentral:lncRNA from 1 species
AAAAAUAUUUGGCAACACUUAUUCCAUAUGUUGUAAGGCUUUUGAACCGUGCUCUUUAUUCAUCUUGAAAGCCACUCUUUAUAGUAAAAGUUUUAAUAAAAUCUCUCCCAAAAUUUUCCCCCAAUUCUAAAGAGGCAAAGAAGACCGCUAAAAAAUAUUUCCCCAAUGAAAUUUUCUCAAUUCUGCAUCAUAGCACCACCAUGUAUGUUGCUUCAAGGCCACCUCCGUUGUUGUUACCCCAUUUCACCAUCGAACUCCUCGGUGGGCUAGCAGCGACCAAGUCUACCAUUCACUUCAAAAACUAAGAUAAGGCAUUGAAAGAAACUGAGAUGGUCUUCCACUGAGUCGACCGCGACACCCACUCAAGCUGCCGCCAUCGACUUUCUGCCCCUUUUUUCCUUUAUUGAAAUGGUUCACUCCGGUUCCAUCACUUGUAUGUGCUUAUCUUGUCAAAUCCACUUCUUUUAAUCUCUCUUUACUAAUACUUUUUGGGUGUUUAAAUGCUUUUAUUUUAAGAUCUGAACAUAAUUUUGGUACAGAUUUUUGGUGUUAUACUCUUAUUCUUGAUAGAUUUGAAGUUGUAAAAUAAAAAGCCCUAGCUGCACUUGAAGGUUUGUUUAAGGGCUGGUCAUGCUUCCCCCACCUUAAUAUUUUCAGUUCGAGUGAGGUUAAUCAUAAAUUUUUGUCCUAUUAAUACAUAAAUUAGUGUGCGUUCAAUUUCUUCUGUGCCUAAUGGUUAUAGAAACCAACUCAAGAUGUAAUAUUGAAGUGUGUUCAAUUUUAGGGAGUUUAUGUAGGAGUGAGACUAGAAGAUCUGACCAUCAACGACACUGGUGGAAGAGUUGGAAAUGCUUCUCUGGAGGAGAAUGGAGAUAGGUGAGGGUUUGAUUUUGUACAAAAGAAACUUCAAGUCUCUCGUGUGCAUUAUUUGAUGUUCGUAGAUUUAAGGGGGGA